GCCGAGGUAGCCAAGGUGGUCACGGCGGAGGUCUGAAAAACCCCAGAUGUCAGUUCGACUCUGACCCUCGGCACCC
rnacentral:tRNA from 5 species